UGGCGAUCGUCGGCGUCAUUCCCACGACUCGGCGGGGAGCCCCCGGGAAACCAAAGUUUUUGAGUUCCGGGGGAAGUAUGGUUGCAAAGCUGAAACUUAAAGGAAUUGACGGAAGGGCACCACCAGGAGUGGAGCCUGCGGCUUAAUUUGACUCAACACGGGGAACCUCACCAGGCCCAGACACCGGAAGGAUUGACAGAUUGAGAGCUCUUUCUCGAUUCGGUGGGUGGUGGUGCAUGGCCGUUCUUAGUUGGUGGAGCGAUCUGUCUGGUUGAUUCCGAUAACGAACGAGACUCUAGCCUGCUAACUAGUCGGCGGAUCGACUCCCGAGACGGGUUUCCUUCCGCGGGGGCUUAGGGCGGGGGUAGCUCACGAGGGGCUCGUCGUUUCUCUCGUUCUCGGCAACGCGGGUUGGUCGGUCGGAGGGGGAUGAUGAAGCCGAAGAGGUCGAUGAAGGAGAGAAGCGGUAAUAACGGUGGUCGUCGUCGGUGAAGCCAAAAGCGGAGCUGUACGGCAACUACCGCUACUGCUGCGGUUCCUCCCGAAUCUCUCUCUCUCGUUCUUUCUCUCUCCCCCUUUUUUUCCUUCC
rnacentral:rRNA from 1 species